GAUUAUGGCUCAGGAUGAACGCUGGCGGCGUGCCUAAUACAUGCAAGUGAAACGGGUAUCUUCGGAUACCAGUCGCGGACGGGUGAGUAAUACAUAGGCAACCUGCCUUUAUGAGGGGGAUAACCGAGGGAAACUUUGGCUAAUACCGCAUGAAGACUCUAAGGCAUCUUAGAGGGAUAAAAGUUGGGAAACAACGCAUGAAGAUGGGCUUAUGGCGCAUUAGCUAGUUGGUGAGAUAGAAGCCCACCAAGGUAAUGAUGCGUAGCCGACCUGAGAGGGUGAACGGCCACAUUGGGACUGAGACACGGCCCAAACUCCUACGGGAGGCAGCAGUAGGGAAUUUUCGGCAAUGGGGGGAACCCUGACCGAGCAACGCCGCGUGAAAGGAAGAAGGUUUUCGGAUUGUAAACUUCUGUUAUAAGGGAAGAACGGAUUGGAUAGGGAAUGAUCUGAUAGUGACGGUACCUUAUUAGAAAGCCACGGCUAACUACGUGCCAGCCGCUGC
rnacentral:rRNA from 1 species